rnacentral:lncRNA from 1 species
AGAAGAUCUGAGUUUUAAUCCUAUUUCCCAGCCAUGUGAGCUGGUGCCUCAGUCAGCCUCAUCUCUAUGCUGGAGUUAAUCACAAAAGCCGUCUCGACCACCCUCCGCAGAAAAGGCUUCACUCCGGCUCCAGGCUGAGGAACCACCGCACCUGGCACAGAAGGGGCUGCAUCAGAGUUGGCUCCACCCAGGCCUGCAACUUUGACCCAGGGAGUUCGGGGAUAGCCAUCGUACCUGCAGACACUCCUAAGCCACCAACUCCUGGGACACCACCAAGCCCAGCGCCUGCAGAGCCAGGACAGGUGAGGCAUUGCGUAAGGAACAGUGGGGAGGCAGAAGGGCCCGGGGCUGCAUGCUGAGGGCCCAGCAUUGAGGUCUGGCCCCGUUACUAACUCACCUUCAGACUGGGCACAGCUAGCUGCCUCCCUGAGCCCCAGUAGAUUGCAACUGACAAUCCCACCCACCCGGCUCCCAAGCCUGAGUUGAGGGAAGGUUCUUUGCAAAGCGGAGGGCCCCACGGAAGCCAGAGGGCUUGUGGCAUGUCCCA